GAGGAUGAGGGCGGAGGUCGUCUUUCUUCUCUUAUUUCUUCGUCAGCGGCAGUAGGAGGCGCAUCUGUUAUCGCGUGUAAUCCAGCCUUUCUGCGUUUCUUCAGCGUGCUAUCCCGUGAUGAAAGCCUCGGUGUUUAAAAUAACUCCUUAGAACACUGGACGGACUAACGACUUAAAGGUUGUGGUGGGUAUACUGCUACUAGUGUCCAUUCCAAUACCCCAGCUUCUUAACAGAAGUCCUGGGGAGGCAAGAGGCAUCUAAUUAUCUCUUGAAAGCUGCCCAGGAGGAGGGAGGGUGUUCUGGCGGCAACACCCAGGACAAGGGCACAGCAGAGGCAAGAGGAUGUUGCUGCUCCACGAGGUACUGGUCCCAUUCUUGCCUGGAAAGUCUUGUGGCAAAUAAAUUGUGCUUGUGAGAACACCAUUACCAACUGUCGUUUGACCAGUACUGCUGCCUGUCCAGACCUCAUCCUGGAUUUGUAUUGACAUCCAGCAUGUGCAUUCCUGCUGUGCCUUAAGUGUUUUGUGCUUGGUGAAUCCCUGUGCUGCUGGGAACACUACCACCAAUUCCUGCUCUCCCAGGACUCUAUAUCUGCCUGACUCCAGUGCUGCACUCCCAAGACUUCCCUGUCUGCCUGACUCCAGUGCUGCACUCCCAAGACUUCUUGUCUGCCUGACUCCAGUGCUGCACUCCCAAGACUUCCUGACUCCAGUGCUGCACUCCCAAGACCACCUGUCUGCCUGACUCCAGUGCUGCACUCCCAAGACUUCCUGCUGUACGUGAUGUGUUCAGUGUGUCAGACUUGUGGUCUUGUAGUGUUGCAAGUAAUGAGCUUCCCAAUUCAGAAGUCCUAGACUCCCUACCUCAGUGACAUUGUGAUUUCAUUUCAUUUUUUUUUUUAUAAAUUUUUAUCUGAAUCUGUAUUUAUUUUUCUCCGGAGAGUCUUUGAGGUAUGAAAUUAUAAAAUAAAAUAAGGUAUGAGA